GGGAGUUAUUGAGUUUAACAGUCACUCCUUACCUGGCUUUUCUCUAAGCUAGAAAGGGGGACUUUUGUUCUAUCAUCUUCUGGGAAUAGACUAAUCUUGAGGAAAGAUUAGGAAAGUCCUGGGUGUGGAGAACUGCCUUGGAUAUCUGUCUUUCCCUGAAGUUCUGAGACCAGUCUGGCUGAGACAACUUUGUUAAGGGUGAAAGAGAUUCAUUUGGGACUUUAUUUCUCUUUCCAGAAGAGAAGAGAUGGCCAAACCAUUAUGACUCAUUUCACAGAACAAGGAUUGAAGCAUAUGGAAAGUAAUUACAUUCAAAAUAUGCUAGAAAGUGAUUUCAUGAAUAAAGAUACAUCCCUCUCUACUCAAACUGACAGGCAGAGGCAAAAGAGCCAAAACAGAAGAGAAAAGAAGGAAUAACAUAGCAAGCCUCGUUCUGGAAAGAGAAAAGUUUCCUAGUCAGUCUUCUCUCUUCAAAAAGUGGAAAAACUGCAAUGGAGCAGACACACUGGAAGUUAUGUAUAUUCACAUAUAAUCUGAAAGGAAAAGGAAAACAAGUCUCAGAAGAUCCUUCCCGAGAAGGUAUUAGAUAUUGAGUUAUUCAACUAGUAAACUUAUUGUUAGGGACUUUCCCCAUACCCUCGUAACCUCUCUUUUUGGAAAAAAUAAAAUACACUACCAUUUACUCA
rnacentral:lncRNA from 1 species